rnacentral:lncRNA from 1 species
CGGUUCCAAAUUUUGUUUUCGUUGGAUCGACGAUUCUAAUGCAGUGAAUCAUCGAUUUGCAAUAGUAAAAACGUCGAUCUAGGAGAUGGAUCGAGCGAAUUCUGAUAUAUGUAGAGAUCUGAUUCGUCUGAUGUGAAAUUCAACCAGGAUUGGACAAUUCUCAUCCAGAUCGUAAAUUUUUUAAACCUUGGUUUUUACAAACCACACCCUUAUUCCUAAUUGUUCAAGAUGUACAAUAAACAUUCCGGAUGAGACAAACAAUUAACAAUGGCAAUUUCAUAUCUUUUGAUUUAUUUCAAAAUAUUACAUCAUCUUGAGUUGGAAUAGUUGUAAAGGGCUAGAAUGGUAAAUAGUUCAUCUCUUAUGGGUAUUUUGAUCAAUUUCUUUAAUAAGAAUUAGAAAAACUAAAUAAGAAAACUAAGAUAUAAUGAAAUUCAGAUAAAUAUAUCUUCCAGAUAAGCCAACCAAUAAACAUGCAUCUUAAUAACUUGUUUGUGGAUGCUAUCCAAACUGAAAGAAAGACUUAUGUGAUCUUUUACCAGGGAAUACAUUUUUUUUUUUUUUUAUCACCCUUUUUUUUUUUGGCAAAAGAUCACUUACAUGUGGUCUCUAUUAUAAUAAGAUAAAUUUUAAAAUAAAAUCAACAUAACAAUAAAACCAAGAUCUUAACAACUUGAUGUCAUUGAAACAACUAUGCACUAUGCUUGAGAAUAAAAGAUAAAAUUACAAGAAACAAAAAGAAGAGUGUCGGAGAUUACCUCAACCGGGCUUAUUACACCCCACACCGAGUCACCACCAUCCGAUGGCGCGGGAUCAACGGUCUAGCUUCAAUCUCGAACCGGGAAAGCAAAUUUCGGCCAAGCCACACCAUGAACCCCUUUGAUCACAAACUCAAACCCUAGGUGAAUUCUCUUAGCAACCUAGUUUGAGAGAGAUGGAUUCUCUUUUUACUAAACCCUAAAACCCUUAGCCAUAAAUCCAUAUUUGAAAGAUAUGAGAGAAGAACUCCAUAACCUAAACCCUUAGGUUCUUUCACAAUGUGGGAGAGAGAAAUCAAAUAUGAGAGAGAUAAACUUUCUUAAGAGAGAGAUAGAAAGAUAAGGGGUAGAGAUUUUUUUUGGUAGAGACAAUCCAUUUUUAUAGGCUUUGAAUAAGAUUAAGGUUUUCUUUAGCUUGCCUCUUCUUGUGAGAUUGAAUAUAGACCGUCGAUCAAGGGUGACUUGUGGGGUUAGAGAUCUGAGCCAUCCAUUCCAUAGAUGGAUCAUCAACAUUAUGAAAGGUGCAUGAAUCAUUAUCCCCCUUUCCUAAAAUAUUUUCCCAUCAAUAUAAAUUAAAUAAAUUAAAUCUAAUCAAAUAUUGUGCAUACCAUAAAAUAGCACAAGUCUACUCGAUCUUUCCAUAAAAUCUUUCAAAGAUAUAUCAAGUCAAUACUUAGUUAAUAUCUUCCAACCAUAUGGCCACAUGCCAUAUCACCAAAAAAUAGGAAAGAGAAUAAGGGUAGGGUGUGCCACCCAAGGGAGGCACUCAUGGGCCCCACCUUCUAAAAAUAUGGCGGGCUUAUGUGCACAAUAGGCCCCCAUGAUAUUUUUAUAUAUUUAAAAUUAAUAAAAAAAAUUUAGAAUAUUAUUUGAAUAUUUAAACAAUUGUAAAAUCAUAUAUUUAAUUUUAUAAAUCCAAAAAUUAUAAAUAAAAUAUCAAGGGGUUUAUAAAAAUUCAAAUAAUAAUAUUGAAAUAAUUUCCAUCAUAAAACAAACAUAAUUAAAUUAAUUUGAUGGGAAAAUGAUCCAUAUGGUUUAGGAAUCAAUAAUCAUAGGGCACUCCACCUUCAACUGUGGACUACAGACCACACUUGCUUUAUCAGACCGACCCAGUGUUUUCUAUGACCCACAGUCCAAGCAGGGGCUCAUUAGCGGAUCACCAAAGUUCGACCGAUGAGUUAAGGGAUCGGAAUCCCAGUAUGUGGAUUUCAGGUCCUCCCCUAGAGACAAGUCAAGGUCACCAAGACCUUAUGCGACCACAGCUCUAUGGCGCAUAGGGGUAUCUCUCGUAUAUGUAUACGCUUCACCCUAAAAGGUGGAUUUCUAGCUUUCCAGAACGAUCUAUCGAUAUGCAUGCCGUGUGAUGGUGCAUGGAUGAGGUUUUGGCCCCUGUCUCUAUAGGCCAUCAUCACACGCAAGGGUCACACAAUCCCUCGGCUAACUCAUCCGGGCAUAUUCUUCGACAUCAUCAAGGGCUAACCCAUUAGAAUCCUUAUCAGUUUGUUCUUUAUGCCCAGGUAACAUAGAUUUUUCCCAAUCUACUGGUCUAGAUCGUCAAGUACAGUCUGAUAUCUGGAAACAUCGUUUACUUAGUAAGGCCCACGAGGGACCACACUCCUACUGAGUUCAUAUUCCACUAUAUCAUUUUAUUUUACAAGCACUAAUAAGGCCUUUAAAGGCCACAUGAACCCAACAUCUCCCACUUGGGCUUUAAAGGUCUUACAUUCUCUCUUUCUCACUUUCUCUCAUUCCCAUCUCUCUCUCCCAAUUACAAUCUCUCUCAAGCAUUUUUAAUUAUUCUCUCAAUACAUUAAUCAUGGCUUUUGCCAUCAAUCCUUUCACAAAAAGAUUUAUAGAGGCAACACAUUUUUCUCUUUGUUGCUCGGAUUUGAUCUCAAAAAUGAUCGUAGCUCAUCUUUCACAUCACAUCGCGAAUCAUGGACUUAUUGUCGCAAAAGACCAUCACAUACCUUCAUCUAAUGGGGUCGUAUGUUCAUGGGCUCAAAAGAGUUUUUCAAAUAAGCUGCUCCCAUUUGUAGCCAUACAAUCAGCAUCAAACAUUUGGGUUCUAUGGGUGAACAACAUUGUAGCCUGUUGUUCCAUUUGGCAUGUCAAAUACUAGCAGGUGCUCCCACUAGAAUAUUUAGUUUAUCUGGAUCUCGAUCUUUCUCAAUCUCACAUCAUUCCUUAGGUGAUAAAAACAUGGUUUUAUAUGCUUGGAGUUCUUAUGGAAUCGUGGCUCAUUCGACACACAUAUCGUCACCAUGUUGUCGCAAAAAAUUCUUACUGCCUUCAUGGUAGACAAUUUCGUCACAUCCUGUUUCUUUGAUUUCUAAGAAACUGCACCCCCUCCAAGCAUGAACACAUAUCCAGAUGUAGACUUCGCAUCAUCUGGAUCUGUGAGAUAGCUUGCACUUGUAUAUUUGAAUAUCCAAGCAGCUAAAAAAACUAUGGGACUGCAGCAGCUCCCACUCAAUUAUUGCACAUACAACAUAUACAUUCUCAAUAUUCUUAUGUAGAUAUCAUGAGGUAACAUAUAGGGUCUCAUGCAAUAUGUAAUUCAAUACCCGUUGGUUUCACAAUAUGCAAACCUUCAUGAACCACAAAUGUUCAACCACAUUAUACAUCUUGUUAAUAAAUUCAUACAAACCAAAUUAUCUAAUCAACACAACAUGUGUCAAUGAAGCAUAGUAUGAUGACAUUCCUACAACAUUUCUUAUGGUUCAAAGUCUUAAGUAAUAGAUGAUUCUAAAUAACUAGAAACAUG